rnacentral:rRNA from 1 species
GUGGGGAAUUUUGGACAAUGGGCGCAAGUCUGAUCCAGCAAUGCCGCGUGCAGGAAGAAGGCCUUCGGGUUGUAAACUGCUUUUGUACGGAACGAAACGGUCCUGGCUAAUAUCCGGGGCUAAUGACGGUACCGUAAGAAUAAGCACCGGCUAACUACGUGCCAGCAGCCGCGGUAAUACGUAGGGUGCGAGCGUUAAUCGGAAUUACUGGGCGUAAAGCGUGCGCAGGCGGUGCUGUAAGACAGGCGUGAAAUCCCCGGGCUCAACCUGGGAAUUGCGCUUGUGACUGCAGUGCUGGAGUGCGGCAGAGGGGGAUGGAAUUCCGCGUGUAGCAGUGAAAUGCGUAGAUAUGCGGAGGAACACCGAUGGCGAAGGCAAUCCCCUGGGCCUGCACUGACGCUCAUGCACGAAAGCGUGGGGAGCAAACAGGAUUAGAAACCCUUGUAGUCC